UACAGAGGUCUCAAGCGUUGUUCGGAUUCAUUGGGCGUAAAGGGUGCGUAGGCGGUUCGGCAAGUCGGAUGUGAAAUCUCCACGCUCAACGUGGAGGGGCCAUUCGAAACUGCCGUGACUCGAGUCCGGUGAGGGGAGUGUGGAAUUCCCGGUGUAGCGGUGAAAUGCGCAGAUAUCGGGAGGAACACCAGUAGCGAAGGCGGCACUCUGGGCCGGUACUGACGCUGAGGCGCGAAAGCGUGGGGAGCAAACAGG
rnacentral:rRNA from 1 species